AAUAAAUCAUCCGAAAGGUAACCUGAGGGCAACUAAAGUCAUUGCCGGGUGCCGAGGCUUCCACCAGAGACAGAAUUGAUAGAAAGGAGCAGCAAACUCCUCAGCUUGGUUCUUAGAGGAGGAUCAGGACAAUGGGACAACAUCAAGUUGGCAAGAGCUAAGAGUAAACCCCAGACCCCAGACUCAAGACCCAGAGGCCCUUAAAGAUACCAUCUGCAUGGGAAUUUUCUAACUCCGAAGUAUAGCUACAUGUCCUGUAGCUGACCCCAGGCUCCCAACAGGGCUUCCCUUGAACACCAGCCUGGAAGCACACAAACAGGGUUAUGUAAGCUGAGCACCAUGCAGAUGCAGAUGCAGAUGGGAGCAACCUUGAGCGUGGAUGACCGUACACUGGAAUGCAAAAGAGACUCCAAAUAUCUCUGACAAACUUAACAACCGCUCCCUAGAGCUGGCUCAGGCACACAAUGAAUAAUGGCAGUCAGAAAAGGCUGAGACAUCGAGCACAAGGAAAAGACCGCAAAUAAAGCCUCAUGGAAUCAAGCUGUUGCU